CCUACGGGCGGCAGCAGUGGGGAAUAUUGGGCAAUGGAGGAAACUCUGACCCAGCAACGCAGCGUGAAUGAUGAAGGUCCUCGGAUUGUAAAGCUCCUUUUUAAGGGAAGAAGACAGUGACGCUACCUUCUCAAUAAGCCUCUGCUAACUACGUGCCAGCAUCCGCGGUAAUACGUAGGAGGCGAGCGUUGUCCGUAAUGACUGGGCGUAAAGGGUGCGUAGGUGGGUUGGCAAGUUAGUAGCGUAACUCCAAGGCUCAACCUUGGAACUACUACUGAAACUGUUGGACUUGAGUGCAGGAGGGGCAAGCGGAAUUCGUGGUGUAGCGGUGGAAUGCGUAGAUAUUAGGAAGAACACCAGUGGCGAAGGCAGGUUGCUAGACUGUAACUGACACUGAGGCACGAAAGCGUGGGGAGCAAACAGGAUUAGAUACCCGAGUAGUC
rnacentral:rRNA from 1 species